rnacentral:rRNA from 1 species
AGAGUUUGAUCAUGGCUCAGGAUGAACGCUAGCUACAGGCUUAACACAUGCAAGUCGAGGGGAAACGACAUCGAAAGCUUGCUUUUGAUGGGCGUCGACCGGCGCACGGGUGAGUAACGCGUAUCCAACCUGCCCACCACUUGGGGAUAACCUUGCGAAAGUAAGACUAAUACCCAAUGACGUCUCUAGAAGACAUCUGAAAGAGAUUAAAGAUUUAUCGGUGAUGGAUGGGGAUGCGUCUGAUUAGCUUGUUGGCGGGGUAACGGCCACCAAGGCGACGAUCGAGUAGGGGUUCUGAGAGGAACGGUCCCCCANAUUGGAACUGAGACACGGUCCAAACUCCGUACGGGAGGACA